UACGGGGGGGGCAAGCGUUGUUCGGAAUUACUGGGCGUAAAGGGCGCGUAGGCGGCCUGCUAAGUCGGAUGUGAAAUCCCUCGGCUCAACCGAGGAACUGCAUCCGAUACUGGCGGGCUUGAAUCCGGGAGAGGGAUGUGGAAUUCCAGGUGUAGCGGUGAAAUGCGUAGAUAUCUGGAGGAACACCGGUGGCGAAGGCGGCUUCUUGGGCCAUUUCUGACGCUGAGGCGCGAAAGCUAGGGGAUCAAACAGG
rnacentral:rRNA from 1 species